rnacentral:rRNA from 1 species
CCGAGAUGAGUUCUCCCUGAGACUUUAAGUCUCCUGAAGGAACGUUGAAGACGACGACGUUGAUAGGCCGGGUGUGUAAGCGCAGCGAUGCGUUGAGCUAACCGGUACUAAUGAACCGUGAGGCUUAACCUUACAACGCCGAAGGUGUUU